rnacentral:snRNA from 1 species
ACUAACUUCUGCUUGUGUAUACUAAAAUUGGAACGAUACAGAGAAGAUUAGCAUGGCCCCUGCACAAGGAUGGCACGCAAAAUCGUGAAGCGUUCCACAUUUUU